rnacentral:rRNA from 1 species
UACGGAGGGUGCAAGCGUUAUCCGGAUUUACUGGGUUUAAAGGGUGUGUAGGCGGGCUUUUAAGUCAGAGGUGAAAUCCUGGAGCUCAACUCCAGAACUGCCUUUGAUACUGGAGAGCUUGAGUCCGGGAGAGGUGAGUGGAACUGCGAGUGUAGAGGUGAAAUUCGUAGAUAUUCGCAAGAACACCAGUGGCGAAGGCGGCUCACUGGCCCGGUACUGACGCUGAGGUGCGAAAGCGUGGGGAGCAAACAGG